AGGACGAACGCUGGCGGCGUGCUUAACACAUGCAAGUCGAGCGGAAAGGCCCUUCGGGGUACUCGAGCGGCGAACGGGUGAGUAACACGUGAGCAACCUGCCCUUAGCUCCGGGAUAGCUCCGGGAAACCGGGAUUAAUACCAGAUACGACCACUUUAGACAUCUGUCGUGGUGGAAAGGAUUCCGGCUAGGGAUGGGCUCGCGGCCUAUCAGCUUGUUGGUGGGGUAACGGCCUACCAAGGCGACGACGGGUA
rnacentral:rRNA from 1 species